rnacentral:rRNA from 1 species
AUUGAACGCUGGCGGCAUGCCUAACACAUGCAAGUCGAACGCGAAAGGGGGCGAACCCUGAGUAGAGUGGCGGACGGGUGAGUAACGCAUCGGAAUUUACCCUGUCGUGGGGGAGUAACCAAGGGAAACGUUUAGGUCUAAUACCGCAUGAUCUGGUGACAGCAAAGCGGGGGACCGUGCAAGGGCCGUCGCGCGAUGGGAUGAGCCGAUGUCUGAUUAGCUAGUUGGUAGGGUAAAGGCCUACCAAGGCGACGAUCAGUAGCUGGUCUGAGAGGAUGAUCAGCCACACUGGGACUGAGACACGGCCCAGACUCCUACGGGAGGCAGCAGUGGGGAAUAUUGGACAAUGGGCGCAAGCCUGAUCCAGCGAUGCCGCGUGUGUGAAGAAGGCCUGCGGGUUGUAAAG